rnacentral:rRNA from 1 species
CUACGGGAGGCAGCAGUGAGGAAUAUUGCACAAUGGGCGCAAGCCUGAUGCAGCAACGCCGCGUGAGGGACGAAGGCCUUCGGGUCGUAAACCUCUUUUCUGGGGGAAGAGAUCAGGACGGUACCUCAGGAAUAAGUCUCGGCUAACUACGUGCCAGCAGCCGCGGUAAAACGUAGGAGGCGAGCGUUAUCCGGAUUUACUGGGCGUAAAGCGCACGCAGGCGGCUUCGUGAGUCGGAUGUGAAAGCUCCUGGCUUAACUGGGAGAGGCCAUUCGAUACUGCGGGGCUUGAGGUUGGGAGAGGGGUGUGGAAUUCCCGGUGUAGUGGUGGAAUGCGUAGAUAUCGGGAGGAACACCAGUGGCGAAGGCGGCACCCUGGCCCACACCUGACGCUGAGGUGCGAAAGCGUGGGUAGCAAACAGGAUUAGAUACCCCUGUAGUCCC